GAUGAUGGGAAGCCUGUUCUUGUUUAUCGGUUUGUACGGAACUUCACCCGCGGUAGAGUACGGCCUGAGAAUUUUGUUCCAGCACCGGUGUGAGGAAAACAUCUGAGCCCAUGAAUUGCCAGACCCUGGAUACCUGAGACACAUCCACUUGCUUCUCAGGUUUGGAGUGCAUAAUGAGGAGAAAUAAAAACAGAAAGAUCUCCAGAAAGAAGCCAUGGUAAGAUUCAAGGUUUCACAGUCCAAGCUAAUGCCUGUGGACACUUGACCAAGUGAUCUGAGAAAAUUGGAUUUCUGGCAAAACAAGUGUACCUAGACUCAGGCAAGGGUGGAGAACAGAGGGCGACUAGAUUAAAUGGAAAGAAUGCCCAGGCAUCCCAUUGCCUCCCUUUGACGUUCCAGAACUUCAUCAAGACAGUGAUGAGCUACAUGUACACCUGGAGGAGAAAGCGGACGAAUGAGCCUCUCCCUUCUCUUCGCUGAUUCAUUGCAUAAGACUCUGCCCAGGCUUCAAAUUGAACUUGUAUAGCUUUCAUAUAAACGGUCAUAUUCACAAUUCUCCGGGGCAGGACCAUGCAGAAUACCAUCCAGCGCCAUGAACACUAGUCAGUCAGUCAGUAAUGGUGGGCUUCUUGGUGUGCUCCAGCUCAAUUUUCUCAUGUUUGAUGAUUAGUUCAGGAUCAAGCUCAGAAGCGCACAGCUGCCAGCAAGCAGUCUACUACUGAACUGCACCAUCUCUCCAGCCUGUGCUUACUCUUGAAUAGCCCCAAAGUAGUCAAUGGUAUGGCAAAAUAAACCUCCAUUUCAUUUAGAUUUUUAUAGUAUUUUUUGCCACUUAAAUUAUUUUAUGUAGUUGAGUAUGAUUUUUUUUCCCCCUAAGGAAUUCUAUGUAUCUCAAUUUCAAGAGUCUUCAGCCUUUAUGUUAUACAUAAUUUCCUAUAGAUUUCAAAGUUGCUUUAAUAAAAAGUUUAAUGUUAAAACA
rnacentral:lncRNA from 1 species